GUUGGAUCCUUGCAGUUUCAUCACACUCGUGAAUCGUGCAUGCACGGUCGUGGGCACGUACGUACGUCUAGUCCGUCGAUGGUGGAGGUGCAAGGAACUAUGGCACGGCCGGCACACCGGGAACAGACGGCGUCGGCGGCAGUGGCACCUUGGGCACGCCAGGAACGGACGGCAUCGGAGGCAAUGGCACCUUGGGCAGGUCGGGGACGGACGGCAUCGGCGGCAGUGGCACCUUGGGCAGGUCGGGGAUGGACGGCAUAGGCGGCAGCGGCACGUUAGGCACGCCGGGGACGGACGGCAUCGGCAACGCCGGCACGCCCGGCACUGUGGGAACCAUCGGCACGCUCGGCGCAGUGGGCACGGUCGGCACAGCGGCGCCGGGUACUGCCGGCAGCGGCACCGUCGGCACGCCUGGCACAGUGGGAACCGCCGGGAUGGUUGGCACGGCGGCUCCAGGUACUGGUACCGCCGGCACACCUGGCACCGUGGGUAUUGCCGGUACGCCGGGCACGGUGGGAACUGUGGGCGCCGUCG
rnacentral:lncRNA from 1 species